rnacentral:rRNA from 1 species
CCUACGGGUGGCAGCAGUAGGGAAUCUUCCACAAUGUACGAAAGUCUGAUGGAGCAACGCCGCGUGAGCGAAGAAGGGUUUCGGCUCGUAAAGCUCUGUUGGUAGUGAAGAAAGAUAGAGGUAGUAACUGGCUUUUAUUUGACGGUAAUUAGUUAGAAAGUCACGGCUAACUACGUGCCAGCAGCCGCGGUAAUACGUAGGUGGCAAGCGUUGUCCGGAUUUAUUGGGCGUAAAGCGAGUGCAGGCGGUUCGAUAAGUCUGAUGUGAAAGCCUUCGGCUCCACCGGAGAAUUGCAUCAGAAACUGUUAAACGUGAGUGAAGAAGAGGAGAGUGGAACUCCAUGUGAAGCGGUGGAAUGCGUAGAUAUAUGGAAGAACACCAGAGGCGAAGGCAGCUCUCUGGUCUGCAACUGACGCUGAGGCUCGAAAGCAUGGGGAGCGAACAGGAUCAGAUACCCCUGUAGUC